rnacentral:misc_RNA from 1 species
GUGAAUCUGUUUUUUUUUUUUUUUGGGGGCACUUCGAAAAAUAACUAAAAGGUUUAUAUCCACACGUGAAAGAAUGAUUUCAAAUAACAGAGAUCUUAACCUACACUAUAUUGGGACCUGUAAAGUUCGCACGUUUACAAUCACAAGUACAUAUGCUCCUAGACUCUUUCACCACACGCUGUGAUCUUCGAGUGUGAAGUUUGAUAUUCACCAAUUUACCAGCCAUCUGUUUAUUGCACAAGAAACAUACAAUCAAAUACCACGUUAACCAGGAUUAAAGACAAACAUGACUCUUUAAAACAAAUUUCAACUGAAUUAAAUUAUAAGUGUUUCAUCCUCAAUAUAUAUAUAUAAGUGUUUCAAGAUGCCACAUCAAGGGUGCUUCUCUCAGUAUUAACAAAUUGAAUGGGUGAUGAGUGAUGACCCACUCACAGUUCCACAGAAAUGGAGUUUUGGAAAAACAACGUUUUGCAUGCCAAAAAAUAGUUCCCUGGAAAGGUAAUAUUGUCUACACCACACAGAUUUUUUCGAACACAAAUGAUAUAAUGAUAAGAAAAGCUUUUGCCACUGAGCAAUGAAGUUCAUUAAACAUAAAAAAACAAAAGAAAUAUUUGAUUAUCAAACCAAGAGAUAAUCACCUGCUCAGCUUAAUUUCUAGAGAAUACUUAUUCACACAAAUAUAGACAUACACACAUACAACGAUAAUUUAAGUAAAAUUUUUGGCAACAGAAAGAGAGUUACAGACCAUUCUCCAGACUAAGUCUUCCGGACCCAAGGACUGAGCUGGACUAGAAUACAGAAAAUGCCUCGAGUACUGAAAGAAAUGAGACCAACAAAAUCAGUUGUUUUAACCAACAAAAUAAAGCAAUCAAUCAAUUGAUCUAGUAAAAAAUAACUUUUAAAAAAUCUGGCAUUCAUAUAAAACAAAAUAGAGUCACAUACCUGACCAAGGUUUCUUCGCAUUUCCCUUAUUUGAGCAGGGCUAAUAGCUUUCAAAAAUUUCAACAACCACCCUGGUUGCAUGGCAUUAGAAGAAGAAACAAAUAAAGCUAUCUGUAUUCAAGGAUCAAGCGAUUGAAGCAUCAGUAAUCACAAAGUAUAGAGUUUUAAGGGAUACCAUGUUUGAAGCAUCAGUAAUCACUCAUUUUGAAUCUAUGGCUCAGUAAAAUACUUGCACUAACGUAAAUGUGAAAUUAGAUAUAUUCCAAUCUCAAAUAUGCCAACGAACUCCAUACCUCUACUACUAGGUUAUGCCUACAUCUAUUAGAGAAAAUUUAGCCUAAACAAAAAUAAUAAAUGUAAUCAAUGGCCAGAGGUUAAAACUGUCAAAGAUGCACACAACAAAAUGAUGACAAUUAAGCUACAGAAAUGCAUGUGCACCUUUCUAUAAUCAAGAAUCCCUUCAAAAGGGAGCUCCAAUUCAUCACUAAUUAUUACAGGGAUGCACCCACUGACAAUAGCAUCAAAUAAUCUGGCGGAUGAUGGAGUGUCACCAGCUGGAUUUAAGCAAAAGAUGGACUUGCGCAUGCCAAUCUGGGCUGCUGCUUUCCCUCCCUCCCCAGCUGUCCCUUCCUCUAUAACGACACCAUCAGCACCACUUAGUUCUGCUACAAGUUUAGCACGUAUCUUUCCACCUGCAUUUCUUUUAAGCCGGCCACGGAAGAAAAGCAGGGUGGUUCUUUUUGAUUCACUUUCUGAUAAACACUUGGCAUCACACAAAUCAACAUUGGGGACAUACGGAAGAAUUAGAUCUUUCUCCAAAAACACUUGUCCUGGCUUGUACCAGUUCCCCGUGGAGUCCAUAUCAGGUAGCAACCAAAUUGCAUUUUUCAUAUAUCUCCGAACAGACUUGAAAGACCAGGGAUGAUGAACAGGAAGAAUGUGAUCCCUCCCUCCAGAUCGUUUCCAUGCAGGCUGAUCUGUCACCCACUUCAAUGCUUCCUACACCCACAGAAACCAGCGCUUUACAUCUUCGGAACGCAGGAGAAAAUUCUGAAACAUCAUAUCAGUUUUAAGGAUAUAAAGGGAAUCUGAACUUUACAAGCACAAAUUACUGGUUUUCAGAACUUCAAGCUGUAAAAAAACAUUCAAAUAUUCAAUUUAGUGUGUCCAGAUAAUCUUAAGCUCCUAAUUUAAACUCAAUCUCCAACUUGACAUUAUUGAGGAGCUAUUAGCGUCUCAAUUAAAGCAUGAAAAUAUUUCAUAUUUAUGUAUGAAAAAGGAAAAUGAAGCAGGGUAAGUUCAUAAGGGGGUAAAAAAAACGAGAUUACUAAUCAAGUAAUCCUUAGAAGUGCACUCACACCCUAUAAAGAGCCUUGCAUUGUUGCUUCUCAAGCAAGAAAAAGCUGAUUGUAGUGAAGAAAGGGAUAUAGAACAAAUCUGCUUCCUCCUGCCUACGAACUCUCACUACACUUUUCAAAAGCCUCUCUGAUUCUGGAGCUAUCAGAUCUGCCCAAAGCCAAUAAUCAAUGGAAUGCUGUUCGAUUAAACGAUGCACGGGGCUGCCAUUGGAGGUGAGAUUAUCAGUCUCUCUAUAAGAAUUCCUAAACAGCCAAAGCAAAUCGUAGGUGAAUUUCCUCGGCAUCUCAUACACGUAAACCCUAAUCGGAAGCUCAAGAGGAUAGUAUGGAUCCCCGUACAGUCUCUCACUCUCCCUCAUAAAAAUUUUCUCAUCUAAUUCUGUCAACUCCUCUUCGGUCACUUGGAGAACCGUAGAGGAUCUAGGAGCUUUCUCAGCGAGGAAGUGCUCGAGAGAAGCGAGAAAGGAGGUUUCGGAUUUGAGGGCAAGACUGGGGUUCGGGUAUGGAGAGGGGAUCCGGGUUUGGGAGGAAGAAAGGGAAAAGAGGAGGAAAAGGAGAGAGAUAGCGAGGAAGGAGAGAAUAAGGAGGAGAAUCGGGGAUCUGGAUCUUGAUGAUGGAGAAAUGUGAAGUUUACUUGGCAUUUUUAUGGUUUUUUCUGGCUAUGGAGAUCAAAGAAAUAGUGCUACAGACUUGUUUCCGUGUUUAUGGAGAAGCAGCUUAUGGCUGUGGAGAUUGAAGAAAGAGUUGAGAGAGGAGGGAAGAACUGCAGUUGUAUUAUACUAAUGGGUAAAUGGGUAGAGUUACGUAUUCAUUUUGUUGGGUCUAGAGUUUAGAGUGGAUUUAACAUGGGC